rnacentral:rRNA from 1 species
CUACCUUUGGAUUGGGAAUAACCACGGGAAACUGUGGAUAACACCGAAUAAUGCAGCGCCGCCUAACGGUGUGAGUUGUUAAAGCGUUAGAUCGCAAGACCUCGGGUCUGAAGAGGAGCCUGCAGGAGAUUACCUAGUUGCUAAGGUAUCGGCUUACCUAGGCGAUGAUCUGUAGCCGGUCUGAGAGGACGGUCGGCCACACUGACACUGACUUACGGAUCAGACUCCUACUGAAGGAAGCAGUCGGCAAUUUUGCGCAAUGCUAGAUAGCCUGACCCGGCAACGCUGCGUGAAGAAUGACAUCUCUCGGGAUGUAAACUUCGCAAGAUCGUGAAGAAUAAGUAAGGCUUAAUAUCUCUUACGAUGACGGUACUGUUUGUUAGCUCCGGCUAACUCCGUG